GAAUUCCAUAAAAGCCUUUAUUUAUUUUAAGAUUGAUCAUUUUUCUUUGAAUUGUGUCUAUAAGCUUCGAAUUCAAACUCCAUCUCAUGUAAUCAACCUUCAAUCGUUUUUGAAAAUCUGUUAGAAAGCUCUAGGCUACCACCAACCCAAAAAACACCACAAAUAAUAUAUGCAUGGAUAUAAGGAAAAAAAGAAUUGAGAACAAAAAAAAUGACACUACUUGUAAUAAAAAGCCAGUCAUCCUACGAGCCUUGUUGCCCGAAAGCCGGAUGCUUCUGUGGUCUUGGAAUAAGAGAUACAGGAUAAAACCACAAUUC